rnacentral:rRNA from 1 species
AGGAAAAGAAACUAACAAGGAUUCCCCCUAGUAACUGCGAGUGAAGCGGGAAAAGCUCAAAUUUAAAAUCUGGCGGUCUCUGGCCGUCCGAGUUGUAAUCUAGAGAAGUAAUGCCCGUGCUGGACCGUGUAUAAGUCUCCUGGGAUGGGGCGUCAUAGAGGGUGAGAAUCCCGUCUUUGACACGGACUACCAGUGCAUUGUGGUAUGCUCUCAAAGAGUCGAGUUGUUUGGGAAUGCAGCUCAAAAUGGGUGGUAAAUUCCAUCUAAAGCUAAAUAUUGGCGAGAGACCGAUAGCGAACAAGUACCGUGAGGGAAAGAUGAAAAGAACUUUGGAAAGAGAGUUAAACAGUACGUGAAAUUGCUGAAAGGGAAACGCUUGAAGUCAGUCGCGUUGGCCGGGGAUCAGCCUUGCUUUUGCAUGGUGUACUUUCUGGUUGACGGGUCAGCAUCAAUUUUGACCGCUGGAAAAAGACCUGGGGAAUGUGGCAGCUUCGGCUGUGUUAUAGCCCCUAGUCGCAUACAGUGGUUGGGAUUGAGGAACUCAGCACGCCGCAAGGCCGGGUUUCGACCACGUUCGUGCUUAGGAUGCUGGCAUAAUGGCUUUAAGCGACCCGUCUUGAAACACGGACCAAGGAGUCUAACAUGCCUGCGAGUAUUUGGGUGGAAAACCCAAGUGCGUAAUGAAAGUGAAAGUUGAGAUCCCUGUCGUGGGGAGCAUCGACGCCCGGACCAGAACUUUUGGGACGGAUCCGCGGUGGAGCAUGUAUGUUGGGACCCGAAAGAUGGUGAACUAUGCCUGAAUAGGGUGAAGCCAGAGGAAACUCUGGUGGAGGCUCGUAGCGAUUCUGACGUGCAAAUCGAUC